GAUGAGGAAACCGGCAGGGUUUACGGGUCCUCGUUCUGAAGAAUAGCAACGAACGAGGUGGAGCUUCUCUUCCUGCAGGCUCGAUGGACUGCCCGAUGGACUGGGAAAAGAAGCAAACGCACCCAACACAUUAAGGAUUUGCUCCAUUUCCUGGAGAAUGAAACGAAGAGAGUGGAGAACGCAAUGAUGUUUAAGGAACAACACGGCAUAAAGAUGAAAGCGCUAUGUGGAGUGAAACGGGAGACGACGUCCAAACAAGGGAGUGCUGCCGUAGCUAACAUGAAGUGUGAACCAUAACCCUGCAUUAGGCAGCAGAUGCGAGAGGCGUCCGUGACCACGCAUGUUGAGCCUCGCGCAGAGCAUGGGAGGAGUAUAGUGGAAGGUGACAGAUGCCGCCUCUGUUGUGACAGUCAUAGUCUCCCCGCCUGUUCAGCGUUCCGACUCCUGCCUGUGGAGCAUCGCACACUAGUUGUAACACAUUUGCAAUCAGGAUAAGUUAGGGUGGGUGAUAAAUGGUCCCUUAAAGCUGGCAUAACAAAGAACUACGAGUUUCAGCACCUUUGUGGAAGAGGCGGCAACAGUUGGUCUCCACUAUCCUUUGUCGGUGGAGAUGAUAUGAUUCUGGGACACUGAGGAUUCACAGCCCAAGAAUUUCUAGCAGGAGGAAGAUGGGAGAGUGGGCCCAACUUCCUGUACCUAGUGGAACACUCCUGGCCCCCACUGUUGAGUCACAGGAGUGACCUAGAAGGGGAUCCCGAGGUCAAGAAGGUCACUUCUCUAGCAGUAGAAACACAAGAAGUUAGCAUAGUGGAUAAGCUCUUCUUACGAUACUUAUCCUGGUACACCCUGCGGAGGACGGUAGCCUGGCUCCGCAGGUUCAUGGACUGGAUCAUGAAUGGCCGCCCAACCUUUUUAAGAUCUCAGCUUACUGUACCUGAGUUCCAGGCAGAUCAAACUGCUGUUGCUCCGCUACGUCCAGCGGAUUCAUUUCAAGGAUGCCAUUCAAGCCCUCUUCAUACUCUCAGGAUACGUCAACGUCAGAUUGCCCCUUCUCGGAAUCUUCGGAUGGGUGAUCUGGUCCUUGUCGUUAACCCAGAUCUUCCAAGGACAAGGAACCUUCUCGGAAUCUUCGGAUGGGUGAUCUGGUCCUUGUCGUUAACCCACAUCUUCCAAGGACAAGGAACCAACUUUUCAAGUUGUUAUACGAGAACGUGAUAACCAAAUCCUCUACUGUUUAUAGAACUUAGUUAUUAUAUUUUCAUUACAUGCAGGAUGGCUGGAUGUUUGACGGAGGUGAGUGACGAGGUGACGUUGAUGUCUUCAAGGGUGACGUAACAAGCAGUGGCCGCCGCCUCGUGCGCCAGCGCCAAGCAAAAAAGAGCGUGUCUAAUGGUUUGGUGUUCGUCAGAGCUGGCUGGUUACUGUGAGUUGGUGAUAUUCGCUUCGUGCAGGCCAGUGAAGCAGCAAUAGUGUCGGGGCAACCAAGAGUAUGAUGAGCUGACGAUGUUAGAUGACGCUUGGUGACUCGGGUGUAAGGUGGCGAUGUCAAAUUCGCCCUACAUUCUCCGAGGAAGAAGAUCGUUCCUAGUCGAUGAUGACUCUUGUGUGUUCAAGGCUUUCUUCGUCACCUGCACGUGAGGAAACCACAUACUUUUUACCCUGAGCGUCGGCGGCCCCCCAUUCCUAGGCGUGGGUGGGCUGCUUACCGAACAAUGCUAGUCAGACUCGUGGAUCAGUAGUGUUGCUGGUUAAUGAGCAAUCUGUUCGUAAGAGUUCGAGAGACUCUCCACUUUUAAGUUUUUUCUUUUUUUUUUUAUAAAUUUUCCCUCACCCAUAUUCAAGGUAGUUUUCUACGGAGACUCUUCGAGGUGUAUAAAAAAUAUAUAUUUAUAUGUAAAUAUUAUUUUAAGAUUCACCUAUAUUUAUAUGUAAAUAUUAUUUUAUUUAAGAUUCACCUAUAUUAGAGAUACUGUUUCUCCGGAGACUCUUCGAGGUAUAAAAAUAAUAUAUAUUUAUAUGUAUAUAUUAUUUUAUUUAAGAUUCACUUAUAUUAGAGAUACUGUUUCUCCGGAGACUCUUCGAGGUAUAAAAAUAAAGUUUCACCUGAGAGGCUGUUUCUCCAGAGACUGGGGUAUGAAAAAAAAAAAAAAAGCAUUUAGUGGUUUCUCCAGAGAUUGAGGUAUAUAAAAAAAAUAAAAAUAAAA